AGAAGACCAAAACAAUGAUCCCAUUUCAAAUUCAAAUCCCAUGGCAAAUGUUCUCCAAAAAUGACUGGGACUGUUAGAACAAUCGACAGCGAGGAGAACCCAGGAAAAAACUUACCAGGUACGUGAUUUCUCGGUCCUCGUGAUUGCGAUAUCGGUCAUGCGAUGAUUAUCGAAGAUUCUGCGUAGAUGAUCUCACUGGGCGUUGCAGUUGGCCGACUACUUGUUAUUGUGAUCAACCUAGAGAAAGCAACAUCGGUAAAUCAGAGGGGAACCGAGUGGUCAAACUGUAAAAUCAACUUCGCACUCGUCUGAAAGAUUUAAAGCUAAUUUCUAUGUUUUUAACGAAGUGUCGCUUGCAAUAUUGCUUGUUUACUCGUGGCUACUUGAUUAUCGAGUGAAUCAGUUAUUACACUUUCUUUUUCUUCGGCGCCUCCCUAACGACUUUAGCGUUUUUAUAAGUUAUUUUUCUCGAUCUAACGCCCAUCGUGCGCGUAAAAACAGCAAGACAACUCUAUGGCAGCUUACUGUAAUCGAUAACGAUUGUUUCUACAAAUAUUUAUGAAAAAAUGUAAAUCUACGAAUCUUUUCCACUUGUCUCUGUCUAUGCAUUUUUUAUAUUCGUGAUUUUAUCUCACUUCCUGUACAACGUUUUUACGAGAGACAUAAAGAUAAAGAAACGCAAUUCUGUGUUUGUUACGGAUCGAAUGGAGUCUAUUUUUGCAAAAGCGAGUCGAUACGCUUCUGUGAUACACUAAGAUGUUCUUUCAAAGAUUCGCUGUUAUAUGCAAUUAAUUGUCACUACGUUUGCUAUUCCGCUAAAUUCACUUCCGCCAAAUUUUACACUCGAUAAAUGCAGUAGUUCGAAGUUUGUUAACUAAUUAAUUGAUUGUUCUUUUAAUGAUAGAUAGAUAUAUACAUAUAUGUAUGUCCUCUCUUCGGAAAUAGAUAGUCGUUCAAAGAA
rnacentral:lncRNA from 13 species